UGAGCUCUGCGGACUCUCCCGGAAGAUCACUCUAUGCCUUUCGUCUUGUCUCUCUUUCUCUCUGUUUGAUUCGGAGACUUCCUGCGCAUGCGCCCGGAUUCGUGUAAAACCAUGAGAGUCUUAAUCGGUGGCGGGACUGGAUUUAUUGGCCGAAACUUAAGCCGAGUGCUAAGGAGCCAAGGCCAUGAAGUCACCCUUAUUUCUCGUCAGCCUGGAAAGAACCGGUUAACCUGGGAUGAACUCUCCCGUGUAGGCCUCCCAUCCUGUGAAGGAGUGGUCAACCUGGCUGGAGUAAAUGUCCUCAAUCCUUUUCAGAGGUGGAAUGAUGCCUUCCGUCAGGAGGUCAUUUCCAGUCGAAUAGAGACCACAAAAUCCUUGGCGAAAGCCAUCAGAGAUGCUGAACACCCACCUCAGGCCUGGGUCCUUGUCACCGGCAUAGGAUUUUACCGGCCCAGCCACACCACCAAAUACACUGAAGAAAGUCCAGGCGGAGACUUCGAUUUCUUCUCUCGCUUGGUAUCCUCUUGGGAGGAAGCAGCUAAAAUUCCUAGUGAAGCCACUCGCCAAGUGGUAGUAAGAUCCGGUGCUGUGCUGGGCAAAGACGGUGGUGCCAUUAGCCAGAUGAUAUGGCCUUUCCGCCUUGGACUGGGAGGCCCGAUUGCUUCUGGGCACCAGCAUUUCCCUUGGAUCCACGUCGUUGACUUGUCAGGAAUUGUGACCCACGCCCUGCAGAAAGAGGGCCUUAGAGGCAUUUUAAAUGGUGUGGCGCCGUCUGCCGUGGACACCACCAGCGAGGACUUUGCCCGGGCGAUGGGGUCGGUGCUUAAACGUCCCGCCUUCUUGCCUCUGCCGGGUUUUGUAGUGAAAGCCGUUUUUGGCUCUGAGCGAAGCACCAUGCUGCUCGAUGGGCAGCGGGUGCUUCCCAAGAGGACUCUGGAGAGCGGCUACACGUUUGCAUUCCCUGAUCUUUCCUCAGCUCUCCAGGAUAUUUUAGAUUGACCUGAAGAGACAUGAGGCUGCAUGUCAACGUGUUUCCGUUUUGUCUAAUACUUGCUCGGUAGGCGCAACGCUCAGUCUUGUAAAUAGGUUGGUUUGUAAUGCCGUAGCUUGUUUUUGAGCACUGGAGUUUCCAAGUCAGGAUGUUGCUCUGUUCGAAAAAGUUUAGCUUGUUUCAGAAGAAUGAAAGCUAUGUCAUGGGGGAAACGGUGCUGUGAAGAGAAGAAGAGUAGUUUACAAUGGUUCCUCCCGUGGAUGAUAGAUUUGUCAUCUUUUCUUCUAGAAGUUAUCUUACCGCAACUAAAUGAUUAUCGGGACGGGCAGCAAAAUGUUAUAGUAUCUGUGAAACAAUGCAGCAAUCUUUGAAUGGAGAAUAUAUCAGUGGUGGAUUCCCAUGUUGGGUGAACUUUUGAAUGUAUUUAUUUAUUUGGGGUGCGGGGCGAUGGCUUAGAGCAGAGAUCUCCAAACUUGGCAAUUUUAAGACUUGUGCACUUCAAUUCCCAGAAUUCCUCAGCCAUCUUUGCUAGUGGAGAAUUCUGGGAGUUGAAGUCCACAAGUCUUAAAGAUGCCAAGUUUGGGGACCCCUGGUUUAGAGGUUAAGAUGCUGGGCUUGUCAUCCAGAAGGAGACAAGGAAAGAUUAAACAAGGAUGCAGUGGUCCCAAAAGUGCUUUUUUCCCCCCUAAGUCAACUAGACAUUGUUUUUCUUUGAAGAUGUUUCGCUUCUCAUCCAAGAAACUGCUUCGGUUCUGAAGGAAUGGUUGAGGACGGGAGGGUUUAUAUUUCUUGCAAACACUUGGUCGUUAGUGGUCUUUUUGACACUUGUUGAGGCUGCUUGGAGGUUUAUCUGUGCCCUAAAGGUCACCUAUAUAAUAGAAAUGGGGGAAAAAAAAAUAAUGAUAGGUCACAUCACGCCGCGAGUUUGACACCCCUGGUGUAGAACCUUCUUGGAACUGCUGAAAGGAUUGUGUUACAACAUCACCUAUCUCCUAUUUACAACACAGUUCUUUCAGGAAUUCUGAGAAAGUUCCACAACCAUUUGCAUGAUUCAGAGGGCACAGAUAAAACCUCAACGAGACUCAGAAAGAGCACUAACGACUGGAUGAUUGCAAGGAAUAUAAACGCUUGCAUCCUCCAACAUUCAUUCAGAACCGAAGAAGCUUCUUGGAUGAGAUUGCAAAAUGUCUUCAAGGAAAAGGAAAGUCCAAUUGCUGUCUGAAAAAAUCACCUUUGGGACAAGCAUGGCCUGGAUGACUGAGAAUCUCCAUAGACAAGGAUGCAGAAGGGGGCUUGCCAGAGGGGGAACUGGCAGGAAAUCCUCCGCCCCAUGAGCUUCAUUGGGCUCAAUUUUGUCUCAGUCUGAUGUUUCCCCAAGGCCACAGGUCUGCUCUUGACUUAGGAUUUCUUCCACCCCAGUCUUUGCAUUAGCUCAACAUGUGAUGCCAUUGUGCGGUUUUGCUUGCUUUUCGCUUUGUGGAAUUAAAUCAUGGUUAAGCAA